AUAUGGCUGCUAUUUCUAGCAGUUUAAGCAACCACAAACAAGUGAUAGCUUCUUCAUUAACUCGCAUCGUUUCCAUACUUGACACCGUUGUGUCAUCCUUAAAAGCAUUGAAGUAUCAGAUCACUGGACUGUAGCUGUUGUUUCUAGCAGAUGAAGCAACCACAAGUUGAGUCUCCCUCUCUCUCUCUCGUCGGCUUCUAUCGAUUCUAUGUUGAUUCGCUGCUGCGUCAUCCUUAACGAAUCCUUAAGUCUCAGACAUCACACGACUGUAACAAAAAGAGAAAGGGGGACCGAGUUCGGUGUUCACCGGUUUGAGGACUUGAAGCAGACGGCCAUGGUGCACGCCUUCAUCAUCCACACACUUCUGCCAGGUUCGAGCCUUGUGCUGCAUUCGUCGACAUUCCGCCAGGAUCCUUUGACUUCGUACGAAAUCAAGGAGUCGGGAAGCCGAUGGCAUUGCGUCAGGCAGGCCCAGUGGCAGUAUGUCGCCGAUGUGGUUCACGGCGAAUACCAAUUCCGAAGAACCGUUUCGGGACGAUCUUUGGACGAGGAUUUGGCCAGAGCGACCAACAUCGACAAUGGCUUGGGGUUACCCGAACUCGAGUGCGGGGUCCUCAGAUUGUCCGAACACGCUCCCUAUGCCGACGAGAAGGUCAUCGUCUGGUACGGAGCUGGAACCCUGGCCUUCAGUUUAGUCUGUGAUAAAACCGAGAACCGACUCAUCGCCGAACUCAUCCUCAAGCACAUCGUUCGAUAUCUUCAGGAAUAUCUGCUGGUGUUUAGCCAACCGUCAGAGAUUCUAAACAAAGCCGACUGUAUCAUUCAGAUUCUACAGCAGUUAAUACCAGAUGGCUUGUUAUUAUUUAGGUGUCAACGUGUUAUGAGACAACUUGAAAAAGAACUUGAUAGCUCAAUGAAACAAGUGGACUAAGGUGUCCGAUUUAAUGGCAGGUGUUUUUCAAUAUCAAUAUUUGACAGCCACACACAUACACGCAGACACACACACAUGUACACACACACACACACACACACACACACACAUUAAAUAUUUAUACAUAAAAGCACUGUAACAUUCUAUGGGCUGUGCAAUACCAAAUACAUAAUUAAACCAAUAUUUAACCAAAUAUGAUUAUAAAUAUUUUAUGAAUAAGAAAAAAUUCAUAUUUAAAUUAAUUUUAUGAAGAAAGCAAAUUUUCACCAAAGAUGAAUUUGAAAAUAUAAAUUAUAAGGAAUAUAAAUGAGUGUAUAUUGGGUCAUAUAUUACUUAAAGAAGAACAAAUUAAUUAAAAGAAA